UGGGGAAUAUUACACAAUGGGCGCAAGCCUGAUGCAGCCAUGCCGCGUGUAUGAAGAAGGCCUUCGGGUUGUAAAGUACUUUCAGCGGGGAGGAAGGUGUUGAGGCUAAUAACCUCAGCAAUUGACGUUACCCGCAGAAGAAGCACCGGCUAACUCCGUGCCAGCAGCCGCGGUAAUACGGAGGGUGCAAGCGUUAAUCGGAAUUACUGGGCGUAAAGCGCACGCAGGCGGUCUGUCAAGUCGGAUGUGAAAUCCCCGGGCUCAACCUGGGAACUGCAUUCGAAACUGGCAGGCUAGAGUCUUGUAGAGGGGGGUAGAAUUCCAGGUGUAGCGGUGAAAUGCGUAGAGAUCUGGAGGAAUACCGGUGGCGAAGGCGGCCCCCUGGACAAAGACUGACGCUCAGGUGCGAAAGCGUGGGGAGCAAACA
rnacentral:rRNA from 1 species